GGUGAAUUGGCCAAACCACCAUCGCAGAUUUGACAAACACGUGCCUCAACGGAACCUCAACCAAGCACACGAUACGCUACAUUCAGCACCACCGGAUUUGAGUUAUUUCCAUCGUCUUUCUGCUUCUUCAUUUCACCUUGUUCGUGGAGACCCAUCAAAUUUGAAACUGAUUCACAGGCACAGCGAUACACACAGAGAUGACGGAGGCUGUGAUUAGGAAGAAGCCAGGUAUGGCGAGCGUGAAGGACAUGCCGAUUCUCCAAGACGGCCCCCCUCCUGGUGGCUUCCCGCCGGUCCGGUACGCCCGUCGGAUCCCCAACAAGGGACCCAGCGCUAUGGCCAUAUUCCUUGCUGCUUUCGGCGCUUUCUCCUACGGGAUGUAUCAAGUGGGUCAGGGCAAUAAGAUCCGCAGGUAGGAGCCUGGCAGUUUUAUAACACUACCAUGUCGUUGAUUUUUGCUUUUUAGUAGUUUUUAAUCUGUGGGUUCAGUUUGAUUCCGAAAUCAGAACUCGUAAUGGGAGAAUUUUUCUUGUCGUCACUGUUACUAGCAUCAUCGGAUUGAAGAUUAUUGGAAUAAUGAACAUCAACAUUAAUAUCUCCAUUUGGUUGUUAAACCUAGUUUAUUUUGUUAUUAUAUAUUUUAGUAUUUUGAAUAUUUUUGGUGUCUGUUUUUUAUUUUUUUAAUUAUGAAUCUUAUGAGACUUUAUUUAUUUAUCGCGGUUUUGACUUGUCAAUUGGGGAAUAGGUUUGCACAUUUUUUUUGGAUUGGUUGAUACAUGAUGAGGGUAGAGUUAUAGUUGAUAUUGGAACUAAGAGCUAGACAUUGUGCCAACCUGACUACGAAAUUCAAUUGAUAUUCGAUUAUAGGAAUGGUUUUUGGUUUCUGAAGGCAUUUAUCUGCACAGACACUCACACACUCACAAGUGACUAAUUAUGAGUUUCUGAAGAUUGAUUUGUAUGGAUUUCAAUGAAGAAUUGAUUUUGAUGCUGGUUCUGCGUAAAAUUUCGAAGUUAUCCAAAUACAGCUGGUUUUUGGCGGAGCGGAAUGUGCCAUUUUGUGUAGUUGAACACAGCUAAUACACUUAGAGUAACUGUUAUCUUGGGUCAAGUAAAGAUUAAAUCAAUUUGAGUUUUGUGAAUGGCAGUGACAUGAAAGACUUUAAAUUUGAUGAUAAUUUUUAUGGAUACCCUGGUGACAUAUUUGAGUAAAUUGUUUAGUUUCUUGGGCUUUAAAAUGUUAGGGGAAAAUUUUACGAUAUUUAAUUAUUCAUGUGCUAGAGAUGUGUGGUGAUCAUGAUUA
rnacentral:misc_RNA from 1 species